rnacentral:lncRNA from 1 species
ACACUUUGGACUUAGGUAUAAUUCAUUCAGACCUUAGGUGCCUCCUUUAAAGGAGCUCCUUAGAAGUGGAGAUUUUCAUCAUCCUCAAACCUGUGAGGCAUGUCCUACAGAGGGAAGAAGUGCCCUCAGCGUUAAAAGAAGUGGCAAUCCCUUUACCUGGGAAAGAUUAAAAUAGCAAGAGCCCCUUGGAGAUUCCUGUAUCUAGUUUGGCAGUGGUGGCCUGAAAGAAACAUCUGAUUUUCAAGAGCAUUGAUUUAUUACCAUUUGGCAAGUCUUAUUGAACUGAUAUAUAGAUAGUAUGUGAAAGUGAAUAUAAUUACACAAUUUUCAAGUAUUAGUCUAUUUUGUAAAGUUAAAAAUAUGCAUGCUGUCUAAAAUAAAUAUCUUUAGGUUCUUGUUACA